AUUCUGGGAACUUUUCAGAGGUU
rnacentral:misc_RNA from 1 species